rnacentral:misc_RNA from 1 species
GCAACAUCUUCAGCACCACUGCAAAAAAAAUGGAUACUUAUUACUAAAAAGAUAACAUUUCAAAUGAAUAACUGCCAUGUACCCAAUAUAUGUAAGAGUUAAGUAAUGUAUAACAUGUGAGAAUGCAAUUCCAGAGCACACGCUAGAGUAAUUCAAUUUCAGUACAUUCUGAUAUUAUCGAAAAUAUCUCACCUGUAUAUGCAUACACAAGUUCAAAUGAUUUUUCAUUGUACCUCUGCUUGUCUGCUAGGUAAGUAAUUUCUUGUAAAUUAAUUUAUUGUGUCAUUCCUAGGUAUGCUGUAUGCCUAUGUCUUAUUCAUGCGAAAUUAGGCCCAAUAUACAACUUAUCUCAGCUAACCCUCUAACCAUAAAUGCAAUCUCGUUUUGCUAAACAAAGAACUACAAUCUAGAAAAGGAAUAUUCUUUACAAUCUAAUGGCACAUUUGAGAUUAUCCUUUCAACUUCCACUGUUAGGCAAAUAUGAAACAAUCGAUGGGAUUCCACAAUACACAAAGAAUGUUGAUCAGAAUAAUGGGACAUUUUUUAAAAUUUCUGCUACUGACAAAAUAUUUUUAAAAAAUUACAAUUUAAAUUCAAUUAUGGCUAUAUUAAUUACCUGAAUGCAAUAGCAAUAUCAUUG